rnacentral:rRNA from 1 species
CCUACGGGUGGCAGCAGUGAGGAAUAUUGGUCAAUGGACGGAAGUCUGAACCAGCCAUGCCGCGUGCAGGAUGACGGCUCUAUGAGUUGUAAACUGCUUUUGUACAAGGGUAAACCUGAAUACGUGUAUUCAGCUGAAAGUACUGUACGAAUAAGGAUCGGCUAACUCCGUGCCAGCAGCCGCGGUAAUACGGAGGAUCCAAGCGUUAUCCGGAUUUAUUGGGUUUAAAGGGUGCGUAGGUGGAUUGAUAAGUUAGAGGUGAAAUGUUCGAGCUUAACUCGGGAACUGCCUCUAAUACUGUUGGUCUAGAGAGUAGAUGCGGUAGGCGGAAUGUAUGGUGUAGCGGUGAAAUGCUUAGAGAUCAUACAGAACACCGAUUGCGAAGGCAGCUUACCAAUCUAUAUCUGACGUUGAGGCACGAAAGCGUGGGGAGCAAACAGGAUUAGAUACCCGGGUAGUC